rnacentral:rRNA from 1 species
UGCCUAACACAUGCAAGUCGAACGAGAAAGUGGAGCAAUCCAUGAGUAAAGUGGCGACCGGGUGAGUAACACGUGACUAACCUACCUUCGAGUGGGGGAUAACCUCGGGAAACCGAGGCUAAUACCGCAUAACAUCGCAAGAUCAAAGCAGCAAUGCGCUGGAAGAGGGGGUCGCGGCUGAUUAGCUAGUUGGCGGGGUAACGGCCCACCAAGGCGAAGAUCGGUAGCCGGCCUGAGAGGGCGCACGGCCACACUGGAACUGAAACACGGUCCAGACUCCUACGGGAGGCAGCAGUGGGGAAUUUUGCGCAAUGGGGGAAACCCUGACGCAGCAACGCCGCGUGGAGGAUGAAGCCCCUUGGGGCGUAAACUCCUUUCGACCAAGACGAUAAUGACGGUACUGGUGGAAGAAGCACCGGCUAACUCUGUGCCAGCAGCCGCGGUAAUACAGAGGGUGCGAGCGU